UACGAAGGGGGCUAGCGUUGCUCGGAAUCACUGGGCGUAAAGGGCUCGUAGGCGGCCAACUAAGUCAGACGUGAAAUCCCUCGGCUUAACCGGGGAACUGCGUCUGAUACUGGAUGGCUUGAGUUCGGGAGAGGGAUGCGGAAUUCCAGGUGUAGCGGUGAAAUGCGUAGAUAUCUGGAGGAACACCGGUGGCGAAGGCGGCAUCCUGGACCGACACUGACGCUGAGGAGCGAAAGCCAGGGGAGCAAACGGG
rnacentral:rRNA from 1 species